AUUUUGAAAUGGUUUGGAAUGUUCUUCCAGAUAUUUCAAGAAAAAGGUUCUCCCAGGACGAGGCUAGCCCAUUGCACUUCGGGUGUGCUGACGCCUGCGAUGUCCCCAAAUGCGGGAUACUCGACUGCAAAAUUUGUGGUAGUGGGGGACUGCGUUCGCGCUCUCCCCUG